rnacentral:rRNA from 1 species
UACGGAGGGUGCAAGCGUUAUCCGGAUUCACUGGGUUUAAAGGGUGCGUAGGCGGCUAAAUAAGUCAGUGGUGAAAGCUUACAGCUUAACUGUGAAACUGCCAUUGAAACUGUUUAGCUUGAAUCUGGUUGAAGUGGGCGGAAUACAUCAUGUAGCGGUGAAAUGCUUAGAUAUGAUGUAGAACACCGAUUGCGAAGGCAGCUCACUAAGCCAACAUUGACGCUGAGGCACGAAAGCGUGGGGAGCGAACAGG